GAUGAACGCUGGCGGCGUGCCUAAUACAUGCAAGUCGAGCGAACGGACGAGAAGCUUGCUUUUCUGAUGUUAGCGGCGGACGGGUGAGUAACACGUGGAUAACCUACCUAUAAGACUGGGAUAACUUCGGGAAACCGGAGCUAAUACCGGAUAAUAUUUUGAACCGCAUGGUUCAAAAGUGAAAGACGGUCUUGCUGUCACUUAUAGAUGGAUCCGCGCUGCAUUAGCUAGUUGGUAAGGUAACGGCUUACCAAGGCAACGAUGCAUAGCCGACCUGAGAGGGUGAUCGGCCACACUGGAACUGAGACACGGUCCAGACUCCUACGGGAGGCAGCAGUAGGGAAUCUUCCGCAAUGGGCGAAAGCCUGACGGAGCAACGCCGCGUGAGUGAUGAAGGUCUUCGGAUCGUAAAACUCUGUUAUUAGGGAAGAACAUAUGUGUAAGUAACUGUGCUCAUCUUGACGGUACCUAAUCAGAAAGCCACGGCUAACUACGUG
rnacentral:rRNA from 1 species